rnacentral:sRNA from 1 species
AGGAAUAAAACAUGCGGGACUUGCGAAUGGACGCACUGCUGUGUGUACUAUAGGGUCUGUCUGAUGUCGGACAGGCUCUGUUUUUUUA